rnacentral:rRNA from 1 species
GAUGAACGCUGGCGGCGUGCCUAAUACAUGCAAGUCGAGCGAACGGACGAGAAGCUUGCUUUUCUGAUGUUAGCGGCGGACGGGUGAGUAACACGUGGAUAACCUACCUAUAAGACUGGGAUAAAUUCGGGAAACCGGAGCUAAUACCGGAUAAUAUUUUGAACCGCAUGGUUCAAAAGUGAAAGACGGUCUUGCUGUCACUUAUAGAUGGAUCCGCGCUGCAUUAGCUAGUUGGUAAGGUACGGCUUACCAAGGCAACGAUGCAUAGCCGACCUGAGAGGGUGAUCGGCCACACUGGAACUGAGACACGGUCCAGACUCCUACGGGAGGCAGCAGUAGGGAAUCUUCCGCAAUGGGCGAAAGCCUGACGGAGCAACGCCGCGUGAGUGAUGAAGGUCUUCGGAUCGUAAAACUCUGUUAUUAGGGAAGAACAUAUGUGUAAGUAACUGUGCACAUCUUGACGGUACCUAAUCAGAAAGCCACGGCUAACUACGUG